GAACGGUGGAAGCGAGGCUCCUCCUUGCAGCCAAACUGAUUUCUGUGUAAGAAUGUGAGUAGGCAAAGUGCACAUUUUUGCGAGGAAAAAAAACCCCGCUGAAGUCAUUUUAGGACGGAUGUUAGAGAGGGAGGCUGAGCGGUACAUUCUCAGACAUGCACUGAUGUGGCUUACAUUUAGGGCGGACAACACGGGCUAAUUUAACAAACCAAGGAAAUGACAGUGACUGGAGAACAAGCUGUUCUAAAGACCGGGCCUUGCAGUGCAUCCCACACCCUCACAGAUGCUUGGCAAUGAAGAAUGGACUUUCUAUGUACUAGACCAAGCCACAGACAGCACUGGGCCUGAGCCUGGAAUUAAAAUAUGCGGCAUUCAAACAGGAAGUCAGAAACAGACCUUAUGGGUCUCAUGAGGUAGGACAGAGACAAUGCCAAGAACAUUUGUUUAGAAUUACUUCUGUGACUGUUUGUAAGUGGCAUGUGGAAAUGCGUGAUAAUAUCCUGGGACACUUUCGCUGUUUAAAGUUGUUAUGAUGUACUCUACAGUAAGUUGAUUAUGCUGUGACGAUUUGCUAUCAUUAUGCUUUCUACCCUAUUGUUUGAAUUCUGCUAACUAAAUGACACUUUGCUUAAUUAUUUCAUUUUGCAGUUUUGCAACAAAAAAAAGAUAAUAAUAUUCAUCUCCAUUUUGUAGGAUAUGGGCACUAGUCCCUCAUGGCAGUCAGCCAGGGACUGCUCACAUAUGUGAGUACCAAUUGAAGGCAGUAUUAAAAAAAGGCAGUUGUAAAUCAGAGAAUGAAAGAGCCAAGGUAAUUGUAUAAGGUUUAUGGAUAAGUCAAGAAAGCAUUGAUUUACUAUCACACUUUACAUACCCUUCAUGAAUAGUGGAAUAUGACAGAGCACAGUACAGAAACGCCAUGCAUGUGGUGGAUUAGCUGAUUAAUGCAGUGUGCUACAGUGCAUUGUUGCAAAGUCUCUCACUCCUUUGAACUACCAUGAAAUGGUGCCUCUGUAUUUUUUCCCCCACAGUGAUGCAUUUCUUAAUCUAUGGCUAGGACUACUGUGCCAUGUAUUAUAUUUUGUCAUAGUUCUUACACUACAAUGGCCUUUUCUGAUUUCGUUUUUUGCUUUACGUCUGUCUAUCAUGUUUUAACUGGAUGAAAAUAAGAUGUUGAAAUUGACACACACACACACACACACACAUAUACAUACAUGUACAUGAACAACAAUCCCUGUUCUUCUUGCCAGGAUUUGUUCACACCUGCUGAUUAUAGCAACCGAUGACAGAUAAGUUACUUUGCCACCCCAAUAGAUGGAUUGAGAUCCUCAAUUUACAGUGGGUGAUACAUGAUGUCUCACAAGCAUUCAUACAUUGUAUCACAAAAAUCUUAGCUGUUUGCACAUGUAACAUAAUGGACAACUACUGCAAAUACAGGGCUUCAUAUCAGUAUCACUUACUGUCUCAUUAUGACGUGUUUUGUAAGUAGCAAUGAAAAGGAAGUUCUAACAUCAUAUCUAAAAACUUGUGUACACCACAUAUUCAUGAUCUUUUAGGGAAAGGUCCUCAGAAAUUCUGUACCAGACUGAGCUGGCAUAAUGGCCCUUAUGAACCUACUGGCAGUUGAAGAGUUCCCAUGAUUGCCAUAUCUGUUUCUGUAGUUGAUUUCACAAUGGUUUCAAUGGAUGCUUUUUCACAGUAAGCUUUACAGCUUUCAAUCAUCUUUCCUGUGUGAUACUAUCUCUUAUGCUAGGCAGCUGUGCUGUGCAUGCUGCCCCUAUCCAAAUGCACAGCACGGUGUACGAAGUGCAGAAGGUGGAAGUGGUUUAAAAACCGUUAAAGUAGCGGUUUAGAAGGUAGGGCUGUGUGGCCAGUGAUGGGAAACAGUCGUUAGGGGAAGAGUAACCACCCAACAGAGGAAGCGCCUCGUCAUCUUCAAAGCCUCUUUGUCAGCUGUUGCGGAAGAAAAGCGUAUAGAGCCCAGACUCUAUCUGCAGGUUUUUAUAGGAGUGGAGCAUCUCAGUCAGCCAAAGAGGCAUCAUGUCAAAUCCAUCUUACUGGCCAUCCCAAACAGUAGAACAUCAGCAGUGCUAUUUCUUGUCAUUUUUUGUCUUUAAAAGACACUAAGUGACACUACAAGCUUAGACAGUAUUGUUCUCAGUAUCGAUUCAAUCACAUAAUGAAGAGAGCAGACAGAUGUUGACCUCUUUUAUGAACAGUUCUAACACUAUGUAUAACACAGGUGCCUCAAGUAACCUACUGUAUAUGUUUUCAGAAAUAAACCAGUUUAACAAGACA